AAGUUUGAUCGCUUUUCAUUAUAAAUCAUAUGGGACUUUUUUGAUACUCAAAAAGCCCUAUAAUAUCCGAAAGGGAUUUACCCACUACAGAUAUUAUAGAGU
rnacentral:ncRNA from 2 species